rnacentral:rRNA from 1 species
CCUACGGGAGGCAGCAGUGAGGAAUAUUGGUCAAUGGGCGCUAGCCUGAACCAGCCAAGUAGCGUGAAGGAUGACUGCCCUAUGGGUUGUAAACUUCUUUUAUAUGGGAAUAAAAUGUUCCACGUGUGGGAUUUUGUAUGUACCAUAUGAAUAAGGAUCGGCUAACUCCGUGCCAGCAGCCGCGGUAAUACGGAGGAUCCGAGCGUUAUCCGGAUUUAUUGGGUUUAAAGGGAGCGUAGGUGGAUUGUUAAGUCAGUUGUGAAAGUUUGCGGCUCAACCGGAAAAUUGCAGUUGAAACUGGCAGUCUUGAGUACAGUAGAGGUGGGCGGAAUUCGGAGUGUAGCGGUGAAAUGCUUAGAUAUCACGAAGAACUCCGAUUGCGAAGGCAGCUCACUGGACUGCAACUGACACUGAGGCUCGAAAGUGUGGGUAUCAAACAGGAUUAGAUACCCGAGUAGUC